GAUGAACGCUGGCGGCGUGCCUAAUACAUGCAAGUCGAGCGAACAGAUGAGGAGCUUGCUCCUCUGACGUUAGCGGCGGACGGGUGAGUAACACGUGGAUAACCUACCUAUAAGACUGGGAUAACUUCGGGAAACCGGAGCUAAUACCGGAUAAUAUAUUGAACCGCAUGGUUCAAUAGUGAAAGACGGUUUUGCUGUCACUUAUAGAUGGAUCCGCGCCGCAUUAGCUAGUUGGUAAGGUAACGGCUUACCAAGGCAACGAUGCGUAGCCGACCUGAGAGGGUGAUCGGCCACACUGGAACUGAGACACGGUCCAGACUCCUGCGGGAGGCAGCAGUAGGGAAUCUUCCGCAAUGGGCGAAAGCCUGACGGAGCAACGCCGCGUGAGUGAUGAAGGUCUUCGGAUCGUAAAACUCUGUUAUUAGGGAAGAACAAAUGUGUAAGUAACUAUGCACGUCUUGACGGUACCUAAUCAGAAAGCCACGGCUAACUACGUG
rnacentral:rRNA from 1 species